GGAAGGUCCGGGCGUUAUCCGGAUUUAUUGGGUUUAAAGGGNGCGUAGGCUGUGCGUCAAGUCGGGGGUGAAAUUCCUGUGCUCAACACGGGGGCUGCCCUUGAUACUGUCGCGCUGGAGUGCGGAUGCCGCCGGAGGAAUGAGUGGUGUAGCGGUGAAAUGCUUAGAUAUCACUCAGAACACCGAUUGCGAAGGCAUCUGGCGAAUCCGUAACUGACGCUGAGGCACGAGAGCGUGGGGAUAGAACAGGAUUAGAUACCCUGGUAGUCCGCACGGUAAACGAUGGAUGCCCGCUGUUGGUCUGAACAGGUCAGCGGCCAAGCGAAAGCAUUAAGCAUCCCACCUGGGGGGU
rnacentral:rRNA from 1 species